AUGCUUGCUGUUCAUUAUUACCUCCUGUUCAAUGGCUCUGAUGGGUCCUGGAAUCAUAUGAAGACAUUGUACAUGGAGGAAUCAUCUUUCAGCUUCUUAGGGAAUGUGUGUGUCGAGCAAAGUGUCAUAUUUGAUACUCUGUCAACUAUAAGAAACAAGUUGAAAGGUGAUCAGCCCGGUGGGGGAAUUGUUCAUGUUGUUGAGAAGAUACAUUAUGGUGCAAAUGGGGAAAGAGAGAUCACUGUUCGUGUGUUCGGACCAUUCAUUGUGGGCAACCAAUUUCUAGUACUUGGUGAAGGGCUGCAAGCCGAAGGGAUGCCCAGCCUGGACGAGCUCACGGUUGACAUUCCAAGAAUUCGGGUAGGUCAGUUCCGGGAGCAGUUCAUCAUGCAGCCAGGGAUUUCCAUGGAAUGCUAUUACAUAUCAAGACAAGAUCUCUACAUCAUCCAGUCCUAG
rnacentral:rRNA from 1 species